UACCCAAACUCCCAACAGUGGAGUCCCUGCUGUUUACCGGGAAGGAGAGGGAGAGGGGCAAGGCAGCAGGGGUGUUGGUGCUGUAGCUGCCAGUGAGUCAGCACCGCACCAGCCUCUGCACUGCCUUGCCCCUCUCACUCUCUUUCCCUGUAGGCAGCAGAAACUCCAUUGACCGGAGGUCAGGU
rnacentral:miRNA from 1 species